rnacentral:lncRNA from 10 species
AGACUGAGAAGUCUGAAAAUCUGCAGUCAGCAAGCUGAAAAUGUAGGAGACAUGGUGAUAUAAAUUCCAGCCUGAGUAAAAAAGCAUUCAAACUCAGUGGAUCUGGGUGGGGACUGAACCUUUGCAAUUCUAUCAAGUUCCCAGAUGAUGCUGAGGCUGAUGUUGCUGGUCCAUGGACCCCCAUUUUGAGAGAGGUCUCACCAUGAACCUGGCGAUGGAUGAGAAGAUAUUUCUUUCCCCCCAUACCAGCCCUCACCACCAACUGACUGCAAAAACUUGAGAGACCGAGUGAGAAUUGCCCAGCUCAGCCCAGUUAGCUCCUAGAACCAUGAGAGAUAAAAAUAAA